UCCCUGGUGGCUCAGACGGUAAAGCGUCUGCCUACAAUGCAGGAGACCUCGGUUCGAUCCCUGGGUCGGGAA
rnacentral:tRNA from 1 species